rnacentral:rRNA from 1 species
AUUGAACGCUGGCGGCAUGCUUUACACAUGCAAGUCGAACGGUAACAGGCCGCAAGGUGCUGACGAGUGGCGAACGGGUGAGUAAUGCAUCGGAACGUGCCCAGUCGUGGGGGAUAACGCAGCGAAAGCUGCGCUAAUACCGCAUACGAUCUAUGGAUGAAAGCGGGAGACCGUAAGGCCUCGCGCGAUUGGAGCGGCCGAUGUCAGAUUAGCUAGUUGGUGGGGUAAAAGCCCACCAAGGCGACGAUCUGUAGCUGGUCUGAGAGGACGACCAGCCACACUGGGACUGAGACACGGCCCAGACUCCUACGGGAGGCAGCAGUGGGGAAUUUUGGACAAUGGACGCAAGUCUGAUCCAGCCAUGCCGCGUGCGGGAAGAAGGCCUUCGGGUUGUAAACCGCUUUUGUCAGGGAAGAAACGAGUUUCUCUAAUACAGAGACUUAAUGACGGUACCUGAAGAAUAAGCACCGGCUAACUACGUGCCAGCCGCCGCCGUAACAC